rnacentral:rRNA from 1 species
UACGUAGGGGGCAAGCGUUGUCCGGAUUUAUUGGGCGUAAAGAGCGUGUAGGCGGCCAGACAGGUCAGCUGUGAAAACUCGAGGCUCAACCUCGAGACGUCGGUUGAAACCGUCUGGCUAGAGUCCGGAAGAGGAGAGUGGAAUUCCUGGUGUAGCGGUGAAAUGCGUAGAUAUCGGGAGGAACACCAGUGGCGAAGGCGAUCAUCUGGGAUUAACCUGACGCUGAGGAGCGAAAGCCAGGGGAGCAAACGGG